AGCUAGUUACUAUGGAUCUUUCAACACACCAUUCUGGCAAGCUGCAUUAAAAAUAACUUCCCAAGACUGUACAGAAUGCAUAGAGCAAUGGGAGUACAGUCAGCCUCGGAGUCCAGUCUGCCCUGGAGCCUGUUGUUCACAGGGGCUAGGCAAUGAGGAGGAAGAAAGUCGAUGACUUAGUAAACAUCCAGAUUCAGUAUGGGUUUUCAAAGUUUUCUCAAAGAGGAAGUUUCCAGAGAAAAUAGGAGGGAUGGAGUGUGUGUGUGUGUGUGUGUGUGUGUGUGUGUGUGUGCGCGCGCGCGCCCACUGUCAGUCCCACGUCCUGAAGCGUGUGAUGCUUCUUGUGUCAGGAAGCUGCAGCUCCUCUCCUCUGGAUCUUUAUGACCACACCAGGAAGCAUUGUGAUCUGCAGUCACUGCCAACCUGCAGGAUAACACAGCUCGUUCCUCUGGGAACUGCCCUGCAGUGUCUGCAUACAGCCACCCUCAACCUGUCUGCCUGGUCUUUGCAACCUCUAGUGGCUGUUGUUCCACAAUGUGUAGUGAAGAACUUCUGCCCAGAAGCCUGCCUGGACCAGGGACACCAGACAGGUGCCCACCAUAACUGUCAUCUGAGAGGCUUCACUGAGCAAAUAAUGAAAACAGAUGCAGAGACCCACAGCCAGACAUUAAGUGAAGCUUGGGGAAAUCUGUGGAAGAGGAGGAGGAAGGAAUGAAGGAGCAAGAGAAGUCAAGGACACUAAAAGAAAAUCUACAAAAUCAUCUAACCCUGGACCCUUGGAGGCUCACAGAGACUGAACUGGCCAGCCAGAGCGCAUGUAUGGGAAGGACCUAGGACCCCUGCACAUAGGUAACAGCUGUGCAGCCGGGCCUUCAUAUGGGACUCCUAAAGUGGGAGCAGGGGUUGUCUCUGACUCUGUUGCCUGCCUUUCUCCUAACUGGGCUGACUUGUCUAGACACAGUAGAAGAAGAUGCGCCUAGACUUACUGCAACUUGAUGUUCCAAGGCUGGUUGUUAUUCAUGGGAGGCCUCUUCUUUGCUGAGGAGAAAGGAUGGGGGCAGAGGGGGAGGGGACGGGAGAAGGAGAGGGUGGAAGAAGACCGAGGGGAAGAUGUGAUAGAGAUCUUAAAUUUAAAAAUUAAAUUUAAAAAAAUUAGAACUUCUACCAAAGUUUAUUGAGAACAAACAGUAGGUUCAGUGAGAUGGUUGAGAAGUGAAGGUGCUUGCCACCAAGUCUGACACUCUGAAUUUAACCCCUCAAUGCCUGGAAUCCUCGUUAUGGAAGAAGAGAACUGGCUCUAGAAAGGUAUAUAUUUCCAGACUUCUACGUGUGCAUGCACACAGAAUAAAUAAAUAUCAUAAAACUUUUAAGGGAACA
rnacentral:lncRNA from 1 species